UUAUAUGAAAUUUUUGUUGGGGCGACAUAAGAAACUCUAUGACUUCUUAAUAUUUAUUUAGAGGAAUCUCUCGAUUCAAUUGACCUAAUUAUAAUUAAUCAAUAGCAAUAGCUACCAUAGGGAUAACAGACUAAUUUUUCUCCAGAGCUCAAAUUCACAGAAAAGAUUGGCACCUCGAUGUUGGCUUAGAGGCCCCCUAUGAUGCAGCAGUCAUAAAUGGUGGGUUUGUUCAACCCUUAAA
rnacentral:rRNA from 1 species